GACGAACGCUGGCGGCGUGCCUAAUACAUGCAAGUCGAACGCAGUGGGGACGGGUGCGUAACACGUGGGUAACCUCCCAUCACCGGUGAUAACACUUGGAAACAGGUGCUAAACCGAUACUGAUAGCUUGACCCGCGGUGCAUUAGCUAGUUGGUGAGGUAACCGCUCACCAAGGCCACGAUGCAUAGCCGACCGGAGAGGGUGAUCGGACACACCGGGACUGAGAGACGGCCCAGACUCCUACGGGAGGCAGCAGUAGGGAAGCUUGGGCAAUGGACGAAAGUCUGACCGAGCAACGCCGCGUGAGUGAAGAAGGUUUUCGGAUCGUAAAACUCUGUUAUUAGAGAAGCGGUAUCUAACCAGAAAGCCACGGCUAACUACGUGCCAGCAGCCGCGGUAAUAC
rnacentral:rRNA from 1 species